ensembl:ncRNA M57.3 ncRNA
GGGCUAAUCGCUAAUUAGACAGACGAGGGAGAAAGGCGGAAAGCUGAUGUCAAGGACAGGUGCCCCGGUC